rnacentral:rRNA from 1 species
UACGGGGGGAGCAAGCGUUGUUCGGAUUUACUGGGCGUAAAGGGCGCGUAGGCGGACUUGUAAGUCGGGAGUGAAAACUCGGGGCUCAACCCCGAGCCUGCUUCCGAAACUGCGAGUCUUGAGGACCGGAGAGGAGAGUGGAAUUCCUAGUGUAGCGGUGGAAUGCGUAGAUAUUAGGAAGAACACCAGUGGCGAAGGCGACUUUCUGGACGGUUCCUGACGCCGAGGCGCGAAAGCUAGGGGAGCAAACAGG